GUUUUUAGGCGUUUUUCUACAUUGCCUACUGCACAUAUGACAGAUAUCCUAUCCUCGCAUAUGUCACUGCCUUAAAAUUCUUAUUAUCGUGCUUUUAAUGUCAAACAUAUAUCUGUAAGUUUUCAAGAUCUUACUCUUUCUACGAAAUGAGUGUGAUGACAUUAGAAGUAUUAUUCAGUUUCUUAAAGUGGAAUCUUCGCUGGAAAUAAUAUAUUUUUGUGUCUACGCAACACAUAAUAGUGGUAAACAGCUAUCGUGCAAUUCCAGUAUAAGCAGGUGAAGGUAUUACAUCCAUACUAAUUCGCAAAUCGGAAAUCCCCAUCUUGCAUCGAAUGGAAAGAGGAAGUCCAUUUAUAAAACACGCGAAUCUUUUAAGCGAGAGUUUACUAUUAUAGUCUCCGCUAAUAGAAUCUUGUGAUCUGUAAUGGAAUCAUCAACGCUCAUUCAUUAACUUGUAGUGUGUGUUGAAUCAAUAAGUUCAAUUUAUUUUAAUGUAUAAAAGACAUAAUAUACAA